GUGAGAGUGUAUAACCUGUCUUUGAAGAGGAACAUUUAAAGGAGAUCAGAAACAAGUGGAUAUGGGACUGGAGAUCUCUAUUCAUCUCCAGUUCACUGUGGCUGAGAAACUGGAGUCCUGCUUCCCACCCUCUGGCCUGUUUCUGUCCAUUUACUUGAGAAAGGUUUCAGCAGUCUGUUCAGCAGGACUGUUGCCUUCACACAUUGUUUUCAGAUGACUUCAACCUACAGAAUCACAGGAACCUACACUUUGUGUAUGCCUGUAGCAGGGGGUCUGGAACUAGAUGAUCUAAAAGGUCUCUUCCAAUCCAAAUCAUUCUGUGAAUCUAUGGUAACAUUCUAUGUUUAUCCUCCAACAUCUCCUGGCCAACCUUUUCCUCUCUGUUGUAGCUCAUCCUUCACAAGCCCAUUUUCAAGGAAGCUCUCUUCCUGCAAACAUAUACACAUCUUUGCACUUGAAGAUUUACAGACAGUCUGUGUAAGGUCACAGCCAUCAGUUAACCAUACAGCACACCGCAUAAAUACAACUUCAUGCAUCUGGGAAGCUGACAGCUGCCCUGUGAGAUAGAGUGUGACAGUUUAAAAUCAAGGAAUCAAUCACUGAGAUAUAGCGCCUGUAUGCCAUUUCCACCAGGAUGUAUUGCAGGAUCCAGGAGCUCGCUAUUUGAGAUAUGCCAUCAUAACUCUGAUAGAUUAAAGCACCACAUCCAGGAAACAAUUGUGCAAGAAAAAAUGGUGUCAUAGAUCUGCCAGGUUACAGCACAGACUCCAGGAGCCAACCAGUGGAAGGCAGAGCUGUAUCUCCGCUCCCAGAAGCUGCCAGAGCAGUCUGAUGACAGUUCUGUUCUCAAACAGCCCCAUUAUGACCUAAUUAGCAUACAUGAAUUGCAGAUUUAAAGCAUUAAAGUGAUGUACAAAUCAUUAAUUUUUUGUCAAAUCCAUGUCAGCCUUGUGUAUGCCUCCCUAUUUUAAUGUUGCAUGACAGUGAAAAGAAGUCUAAUCCUCUGUAUAUAAAGAGGAGAGAUUUGGUGUAGCUGAUAUAAUGAGAUCUAUUUAAACAGUGGAUGUUUUGCAGCUUUGAGUGUAUCAGCUCAGAGCAGAGAAAAU
rnacentral:lncRNA from 1 species